rnacentral:rRNA from 1 species
ACGAACGCUGGCGGCAGGCCUAACACAUGCAAGUCGAACGCCCCGCAAGGGGAGUGGCGCACGGGUGAGUAACGCGUGGGAACCUGCCCUUCGGUUCGGGACAACCCAGGGAAACUUGGGCUAAUACCGGAUGAGCUCCGCGAGGAGGAAAGAUUUCUCGCCGGAGGAGGGGCCCGCGUCGGAUUAGGUAGUUGGUGAGGUAACGGCUCACCAAGCCUUCGAUCCGUAGCCGGUCUGAGAGGAUGAUCGGCCACACUGGGACUGAGACACGGCCCAGACUCCUACGGGAGGCAGCAGUGGGGAAUAUUGGACAAUGGGGGCAACCCUGAUCCAGCCAUGCCGCGUGGAUGAUGAAGGCCUUCGGGUUGUAAAGUCCUUUCGCGCACGACGAUGAUGACGGUAGUGCGAGAAGAAGCCUCGGCUAACUCCGU